ACCUUCAAUGACUGUGUUCAACAAGAAUGGAUUGACAGUUGAAUUUUCGUUCUCAAAAAUUGCCAACAAUCCCAGCAACAUGGUCGACAUCUCAAUGUUUGCUUGUAACUCCCAACCUGUAGCAAUGACGGACUUUCUAUUUCAAGUAGCAGUACCAAAGGCAUUCCAGUUGAACAUUCAAUCACCAUCUGGGAAUGUAAUUCCACCUUCUAAUUCUGGCAGUGUGACACAAAUCAUUCAGGUUGUGAAUCCUCAACGGCAACAGUUGAGGAUGAAACUGCUUAUUUCAUACAGUCUGAAUGGAUCCCCUGUGACGGAACAAGGUGAGAUUGGCGACUUUCCACCAGCAGUUUCUCAGUAAUAUGAGAGUCAGAUGACUGUUAGUUUGUACUGCUCGUCGAUCAUCUUGCUUGUUGUGUGACUGUUGUUGUCGUCGUGCUUCUGGUCAAGUUGUUGUAGAUUAUUGGGUAGAUGGCACUUGUAGCUUGGCAGCUGUUGGCUAUGACUUGCUUUCAAAUUGUAUUUUGCUACAGUGGAAAUAAA